rnacentral:rRNA from 1 species
UGCUCAGUACGGCGAGUGAGCGGCAAAAGCUCAAAUUUGAAAUCUGGCACUUUCAGUGUCCGAGUUGUAAUUUGUAGAAGUAGUUUUGGGACUGGUCCUUAUCUAUGUUUCUUGGAACAGGACGUCAUAGAGGGUGAGAACCCCGUAUGAUGAGGCCCCCAGUCCUUUGUAAAACGCUUUCGAAGAGUCGAGUUGUUUGGGAAUGCAGCUCUAAGUGGGUGGUAAAUUCCAUCUAAAGCUAAAUAUUGGCGAGAGACCGAUAGCGAACAAGUACAGUGAUGGAAAGAUGAAAAGAACUUUGAAAAGAGAGUGAAAAAGUACGUGAAAUUGUUGAAAGGGAAGGGCAUUUGAUCAGACAUGGUGUUUUGCGCCCUUUGCUCCUUGUGGGCGGAGGAUACGCAGCUCACUGGGCCAACAUCAGUUUUGGGAGCAGGAUAAAUCUGUAGGAACGUAGCUUUCUUCGGGAAGUGUUAUAGCCUAUGGGAAUACUGCUACCUGGGACUGAGGACUGCGUCUUUUGACAAGGAUGUUGGCAUAAUGGUUAAAUGCCGCCCGUCUUGA